rnacentral:rRNA from 1 species
AAACGGGGGGGGGCAAGUGUUACUCAUCAUGACUGGGCGUAAAGGGCGAGCAGACGGUUAUCACAAGUUUUUAGAAAAAAAGAACCAUCAAUUUUGGGUACUACUAAAAAAACAGUUAGAGUAAAUUCGUGCGUUCUUUAUUGAAUGCAUUCUUGAGUGCUAAAUAGGGUAACAGAACUCCCAGUGUAGGGGUAAAAUCCAUUAAUACUGGAGGGAACUAUCAAUUGGCGAAAGCGGUUACCUAGAUUGUCACUGACGUUCAUAAGCGAAAGCGUGGGGAGCAAACAGG